GCCGGGCACGGUGGCGGGCGCCUGUAGUCCCAGCUACUCGGGAGGCUGAGGCAGGAGAAUGGCGUGAACCCGGGAGGCUGAGCUUGCAGUGAGCCAAGAUCGUGCCACUGCACUCCAGCCUGGGUGACAAAGCCAGACUCUGUCUCAA
rnacentral:SRP_RNA from 1 species